rnacentral:lncRNA from 1 species
AAUUUUCUUAGGAUAAUGGCCUCCAGCUUCAUCCAUAUUGCUGCAAAAAAAUGUGAUUUUAAUGUUUUUUAUGGCUGAGUAUACUUUCAGUCCAAUUAGAUUAUUUCCUUUCUGCAAGAAUCAUUGUCCAUUUUUAACAUUCAGUUGAGUCUAGGAAACUUGCAUAAUUUUUAUUCCACAUUUUUCUUCUUGAAAAAAAGACUUGGACUUUCUAAUUCCAUCUUAGCCUAGUGGAUAGAGUAAAUACUCCGGAAAUAAAAAGUGCCAGACAAGGGUCUUUAGUAGAAUGAGGAGCAUGGCACAGAGAGAACCUUCUUCAAUGAUGCUACAAAUCUUCAGUAAAAACUCCCAUGUGCGCUCCCGCACACACAAACACACAAACACACACACUCUUACUUAUUUGGAUUUCUUGUUAAAGAUUAUUAUUUUGUAGCUAGAUAAUAAUGGAACAAAACAGUCAGUGUGUGUGGUGGAGAGAACUGAUUGUAUCUGUAAUGCAUGAGCGUUAACUAGAGUCAUUCAUGUACAAAGGUUAAAAACGAUGUGGUAUACAGGCAAAGGAGGAUAUGUGCAUUUUCACUGGAUCUUGUUGUUUGGGCACCUGAGACAAGCUGGCAGUCACUAAAUCUCAGCGAUCACUCAAUGUGUGCCAGGCAUUCGCACACAAUAUCACUAACACCCAUGACAGUCCUUCAAGAGAGGUUCUGCUGUCUGAGAGAUUAUGUGACACGCCUAAGGUCACAGGAUCAGCAAAUACUAGGGCUGAGAUUUAAACCCAGAACUGUCUACUGCCAAAGCUUUUGCGCUCUCCCUCGUGCCACGUUGCUUCUCAUUUUGGGCUUGGUCUCCACUUCCCAGUCCUUGAAGGAGUUCUCCAGGUCUGCCCCAUUAGCACUGCAUCUCAGAAGGAAGCUGCAGCUGCGCCGCCAAUCUCCCGGUGGUAGGUGCUUAAUAAACAUUAUGAAGUGCAUGAACAAAUGAAUAGCCCCUGAUGGACAGACAUGCUUGAGAAACACUAUUUUUCACAUUCCUAUCUACACUCAAGAUUUUACCUAUGAUAGCAGGCUGAAGAUUCCCAGGAUCUUACAUCCUAGCAGCCCUAACAGUUCAGCUGAGCUGAAAGGAUGAGGAGGAAGCCCUUGGCGAUGGAACUUCUAGACAAGCCAAGGCCUGCCUGGCAGAGCUGGGAGCAGAUUGAGGAAGACACCACUGCCCCUCCACCCACCCCGCCGCCGCCUUCAUGUUGCCUUGAUCUUCUAUCCUCAGCUGACAUUUUUGUCGCUCAUCUCUGAUUGAAGAAACCUCAGUUUCUUAUUUGAUCUUUCCUGGACAACCGUUUAAUAGGCAGCAAGAAAAAGAGAUGAGAGAAAGUGAUUUUUCAUCCCUGACUUGACAUGAUAUUUUCCUUUUAACAAUUUAUCCAUACCUCUCCUCUCAGUUUCUCUCCUUUCAUAUACUCACAUACUAUCUGCCUCUCUGCAUAGCAAAGCAACCUUUUGAGCAGUUCUCUAAGAAGAUUCUAAAAAGCAAGGAAAAAGCAGGAUCACAAUAGCUCCUUCCCCAGUUCAAUUCAGCAAGCUUUUCUGAGCACCAGUCCAGAUGCAAGGCACAAUGAGAGGCAAGAUGAAGAAUGGGGGUUACUCUAUCCUCAUCGGACCAAUUUAGAAUCCAGUACAUGCACAUACAGGAAAAAUCCAAUGUGUUCAUCAUCUGUGUGUUCCAUAAUCAUUUACUGAGCACCUUUUAUCAAAAAGAGAAACCAUUUUUAAAGUAAACUGGAUUCUCUAUUAUAACAACAGUGAAGUUUGGCAAAAUGUUUUCCUCAUGUGAAGGCUUGAAUUUAAAGAAUUUUAAUUUAUGUUCAUUAUGAUUCAAUCCAACAUUUGUCUUUUUGUAUGUAUUAGAUCUUGCGAGGGACACAAAGAUAAUCAAGUUGUGGAUCUAGGUCUUAAGACGUAUAAAAUUGAGUGGGUCUAUGUCUUCCAAUACACAAAGUCAAGUGGAGAGACAUAAAUAACACUAACUUCAGUGCAAUGUAUACUAAAGGAUACGGAAUGACUUAUUCAGCAGCUACUAUGUGCCUGGUGCUUUACCCAUAUGAUUAAUAAAGCAUCUUUUGGUGAUA